AGAGUUUGAUCAUGGCUCAGAUUGAACGCUGGCGGCAUGCCUUACACAUGCAAGUCGAACGGUAACGCGGGGCAACCUGGCGACGAGUGGCGAACGGGUGAGUAAUAUAUCGGAACGUGCCCAAUUGUGGGGGAUAACGUAGAGAAAUUUACGCUAAUACCGCAUACGAUCUAAGGAUGAAAGCGGGGGAUCGCAAGACCUCGCGCAAUUGGAGCGGCUGAUAUCAGAUUAGCUUGUUGGUGAGGUAAAAGCUCACCAAGGCGACGAUCUGUAGCUGGUUUGAGAGAACGACCAGCCACACUGGGACUGAGACACGGCCCAGACUCCUACGGGAGGCAGCAGUGGGGAAUUUUGGACAAUGGGCGAAAGCCUGAUCCAGCAAUGCCGCGUGCAGGAAGAAGGCCUUCGGGUUGUAAACUGCUUUUGUACGGAACGAAACGGUCUGCCCUAAUACGGCGGGCUAAUGACGGUACCGUAAGAAUAAGCACCGGCUAACUACGUGCCAGCAGCCGCGGUAAUUC
rnacentral:rRNA from 1 species